rnacentral:tRNA from 1 species
GGGCGAAUAGCUCAGGUGGCUAGAGCGCCUGCCUUACAAGCAGGAGGUCGGGGGUUCAAGUCCCUCUUCGCCCACCA